UACGGAGGGUGCAAGCGUUGUUCGGAAUUACUGGGCGUAAAGCGCGUGUAGGCGGUUUGUUAAGUCGGAUGUGAAAGCCCCGGGCUCAACCUGGGAAUGGCCGUUGAAACUGGCGAACUGGAGUGUGGCAGAGGGGGGUGGAAUUCCGCGUGUAGCAGUGAAAUGCGUAGAGAUGCGGAGGAACACCGAUGGCGAAGGCAGCCCCCUGGGCUGACACUGACGCUCAGGCACGAAAGCGUGGGGAGCAAACAGG
rnacentral:rRNA from 1 species